rnacentral:rRNA from 1 species
UACGGAGGGUGCGAGCGUUGUCCGGAAUCACUGGGCGUAAGGCGCGUAGGUGGCGGAGCAAGUCAACGGUGAAGCUCGACGCUCAACGUCGAGUCGGCCGUCGAGACUGCUUGCUCGAGCACUGUAGAGGCAGAUGGAAUUCCGGGUGUAGCGGUGGAAUGCGUAGAGAUCCGGAAGAACACCGGUGGCGAAGGCGGUCGCUGG